rnacentral:rRNA from 1 species
AUGGUGGCACCAGUUGAGCUUUGUUCUUUCUGGGGCAGAUGCUGUGCUGUGAGCUGGAGUUGCUUUGUGCUGUGCCUUUCCCACUCUUUUGUUAGCCCACAAAAUCAGGAUUACUACUCUCAUAUAAUACUAUUAUGUGCCUUUCUCACUCUUUUGUUAGCUCACACAUUCAUGAUUAGUGCUCUCUAUCAAUACUAUUGUGCAUCCCCUUUUAUUCAUUUUGAUGACAAGUAUUUUCGGACGGAGGGAGUAUUUGGCAGGACCGAUGAUUCUGCUGGGGAUAAGGGGAGGGGACAAAGCAAAAGCCACGGCAAGCAGAACAUUUGGUUGUUUUUUCAGUGCUUGUGGUUCGCGCAUAGAUUCCAUGACCUUUUGCCAGCUCUAACCUACAAGGUUUUUUUGAGACCACAUGCAGGCUGCAAUGUAAAAUCCUGA